AGCUACGUGGUAGUGAGGUAAACGUCAAUGUAGUACGUGGUAGUGCGAUAAACAUCAGUGAGCUACGUGGUAGUGAGGUAAACGUCAAUGUAGUACGUGGUAGUGCGAUAAACGUCAGUGAGCUACGUGGUAGUGAGGUAAACGUCAGUGAGCUACGUGUUAGUGCGAUAAACGUCAGUGCGCUACGUGGUAGUGAGGUAAACGUCAGUGCGCUACGUGGUGGUGAGGUAAGCAUCAGUAUAUUGUGUUAGUGCACUAAACAUCAGCGCCCUACCUAUCAGUCAACUAAACAGAGUGACGUGUUAGCCGUGUAAACAUUAGUGUGGUACAUCUGUGUGUCACGUGUUAGUGUGCUCCACACCAGUGUGGUACGUGUUGGUGUCAACGUGUCACACGACAGGUGCCAACAAACGCGGUGUGGAGAGUUAUGACACUGAGUAGCCAAUAUGUCAAAGCAAGUGUUUCUCUACCACGUAUGACAGACACAUCAACCGUCUCUCUACCAAACAUGUCAAUGUGACGUGUUGAUCUACCGCUAGCCAGGGAUGCAGAUGACAAGCGUGUCUGCUCUACACAUCGAGAAUGCAAAUGUAAAAUGGAACCUCACACGUCGUCAGCAGACAGGUUCAUUAACCUUUACCUGACUGUCCACAUUAUGCCAUUGACCCUUUGGCUGCACAACAGACCCACUCAGCCCUGCACUCAAGUGUUGUCCCACGAGGGCGGCAGUCAGCCUUGCACGUGUCUUCCUGAAAGCAAGUUCCGGUGCCAGUCACGUGGUUGACAGAAGCUCACAGAGCCCGUGACGUGUUGUCAGGCACGGGAGCCACUUGUCACCUGCACUAGCACCUAGCAACGCACGCAGGUCUCGUGAGAACACUUGUGACGUCAGGAGCAACGCACGCAGGUCUCGUGAGAACACUUGUGACGUCAGGAGCAACGCACGCAGGUCUCGUGAGAACACUUGUGACGUCAGGAGCGACGCACGCAGGUCUCGUGAGAAUACCUUGUGACGUCAGGAGCGACGCACGCAGGUCUCGUGAGAACACUUGUGACGUCAGGAGCGACGCACGCAGGUCUCGUGAGAACACUUGUGACGUCAGAAGCAUCGCAGGCUGGCGAGGCCAUACCUGGUUCAGCAGCAGCACUAGUACUAUUAUUAGUAUUAACAAUAACAAGAGAACUUGUGUUUGUAGCCACACGUUCACACACAUUGUUCUCUCUCUCUCUCUCACAGACGCGCGCGCACUCCACAAGAGCUGUAACGUCGGUCGUCGUUUUCUCUUUCUGUAGUUCCUGACACGAGUGACGAGAGCGAGAGUAGCGACGAUAAUGACGACUGGGAUGUUUGUGGUUGGAAGACUUGGCAAUGCACGCCCUCUUCUCCGUGUGUACACACGGAGGCCUCACGAGGUACCUAUGUCUGACGGCGAGGUACCUGUGUCUGACGGCGAGGUACCUGUGUCUGUGUCUGAUGGCGAGGUACCGGUGUCUGACGGCGAGGUACCGUGUCUGACGGCGAGGUACCGGUGUUUGACGGCGAGGUACCUGUGUCUGUGUCUGACGGCGAGGUACCGGUGUCUGACGGCGAGGUACCGGUGUCUGAUGGCGAGGUACCGGUGUCUGACGGUGAGGUACCGGUGUCUGUGUCUGACGGCGAGGUACCUGUGUCUGACGACGAGGUACCUGUGUCUGACGACGAGGUACCUGUGUCUGACGACGAGGCGAGCAACACGGGGGUUAGCAUCUCGUCCAUUCCUCCCUUGGACUGCAGACCUUGACACUAG